rnacentral:rRNA from 1 species
AUUGAACGCUGGCGGCAGGCCUAACACAUGCAAGUCGAGCGGAUGAAGGGAGCUUGCUCCUGGAUUCAGCGGCGGACGGGUGAGUAAUGCCUAGGAAUCUGCCUGGUAGUGGGGGAUAACGUCCGGAAACGGGCGCUAAUACCGCAUACGUCCUGAGGGAGAAAGUGGGGGAUCUUCGGACCUCACGCUAUCAGAUGAGCCUAGGUCGGAUUAGCUAGUUGGUGGGGUAAAGGCCUACCAAGGCGACGAUCCGUAACUGGUCUGAGAGGAUGAUCAGUCACACUGGAACUGAGACACGGUCCAGACUCCUACGGGAGGCAGCAGUGGGGAAUAUUGGACAAUGGGCGAGAGCCUGAUCCAGCCAUGCCGCGUGUGUGAAGAAGGUCUUCGGAUUGUAAAGCACUUUAAGUUGGGAGGAAGGGCGGUAAGUUAAUACCUUGCUGUUUGGUCGUUACCAACAGAAUAAGCACCGGCUAACUUCGU